rnacentral:rRNA from 1 species
CCCGCUGAACUUAAGCAUAUCAAUAAGCGCAGGAAAAGAAACCAACAGGGAUUGCCUCAGUAACGGCGAGUGAAGCGGCAACAGCUCAAAUUUGAAAUCUGGCCCCUCGGGGUCCGAGUUGUAAUCUAGAGAAGCGUUUUCUGUGCUGGACUGUGUACAAGUUUCCUGGAUACGGAACAUCAUAGAGGGUGAGAAUCCCGUCCUUGGCACAGACUCCCAGUACUUUGUGAUGCGCUCUCAACGAGUCGAGUUGUUUGGGAUUGCAGCUCAAAAUGGGAGGUAAAUUCCUUCUAAAGCUAAAUAUUGGCGAGAGACCGAUAGCGAACAAGUACCGUGAGGGAAAGAUGAAAAGCACUUUGGAAAGAGAGUUAAACAGUACGUGAAAUUGUUAAAAGGGAAACGAUUGAAGUCAGUCGCGUCUACUUGGACUCAGCCUUGCCUUGGCUUGGUGCAUUUCCUUGUGGACGGGCCAGCGUUUAUGUUGGUUGCUGGAAAAGGUACAGGGGAAUGUGGCUCUUUUGGGAGUGUUAUAGCCCUAGUUCAUAUACAGUGACUAAUAUGGAGUGGUACAGCAUGCUUCGGCGGUGCUUGUGCUGGCAUAAUGGCUUUAAACGACCCGUCUUGAAACACGG